GACGAGGGAUCCUAGCGUUGCUCGGAAUCAUUGGGCGUAAAGCGGACGUAGGUGGCUUUGUAAGUCAGGCGUGAAAGCCCUGGGCUCAACCCAGGAAGUGCGCUUGAUACUGCUUAGCUUGAGUGUAGGAGAGGUAAGUGGAAUACCUGGUGUAGUGGUGAAAUACGUAGAUAUCAGGUGGAACACCGGUGGCGAAGGCGGCUUACUGGCCUAACACUGACGCUGAGGUCCGAAAGCGUGGGGAUCAAACAGG
rnacentral:rRNA from 1 species